rnacentral:lncRNA from 1 species
CAGUAGCAAAAUUAGAUUAUGAAACAACAAAAGUAAUUUUAUGGAUGGGGGUUCACCAGAACGUGAAAAACCACUGGAGGCUAACAUGUGGCUGAAGACUAGGUAAAGCUGAAAGGGGCUUGACAAGGAUACAGGGCUGGGCACAGCACUCUGGGCCCCCGGAGCUGGAGCUGUUCUUCUUCAGACACUCGUAUUUACUGAUACCAAGCUUAUCUUUGGUUUCUCAGCAAAGGCAGAUAAGGUGAGGGAAAUAUUUGUAGGCAGAGAUUUCUGGAAUUUCCCCACAGUGUUGAAAUAGCCCCGAGAGUUCAAGAAGGCCAUAUUUGGACAAUGAUAAGUAUGUUAUUUUUUUUUUCUAUCUUUUCUGUUUUCCCUGCUAUAUAAUAACAUUUAACCUCCUUCACACAAGGUCAGGGGUGCUGUCCCAAAACUGCCCCAAAGGCAUCUCUUUUCCAAGGACAGGAGAUCCAGGACCCUCCCAGGGUCAUGAACAUAUAUACUAUGUUUCUAAAGGGAAAAUGACCAACAGAGGCAGUGCUUACUGAAGUCAGACGGGGACUGUAACUCAGCAAACCUUCCUCAUGAGGGAGAAGAUGGGAUAAACAAUGGAUUCCUAGCUGAAAUCCUACAAUUGUGGAGAGGUCUUCCAGGGCUGCACUGCACUUGGGGGAAGGGGGGGCAGGAGGAGAAAAGGGAGGAGAGAGAGAGGGAGAGGGAGGGAGGGAGGGGGGAAAGGAGAGGGAGGAGAGAGAAGAGGAGGGAGAGGGAGAGAGAACAGAAAAACAAAGAUGGAAGUGUGUGCCAUUAGGAGGCUCUGAAAGAUUACUCCUGACGCAGCAAAACCUGAGAUGUUUUAUCUACAGGAUGGUGCGCCCCAGGAAAUCAAGAAACAACCACCUCUCCUCUCUCCCAUCACCUUACAAACCCAAGACCUGGCACACUGGGAAAAAUAAAAACAGAACCGGGCAAGAGAUUCUCAACGGUCCGUGAACUCCCGGUAGGAACUUGGCUAAAUAGAGUUGUUUCGGGUACAUGACAACUUGGCCUCUUCUGUGUUCUCCUGAAUGUAUAAUUGAUGUGGCCCAUCUGUUUCCAGUAAAGGAACUUUUGUUUUGCUUUUUGUUGUUGUUGUUGUUUCUCCGCUACUUUCAGGCAGAACGAAUGGCUUUCUCAUUAGGCAGUGUUCACGGGCUCUUAGAAGACGCAUUUAGAACAGAAAGCCCCCUCCCCCUUCCCACCCCAACACCACUUAGACUGCCAGCUGACUUGAGACUCUUCCUUCUCAUUCCAUGCUGGUUAUAUGAGAAAUCCUGCUGGUCUCCGUGCAGGGAGCUUCCCAGGUGAGACUACUAAAUACCCCGGGAUGGGACAGUGUAGUUAUUACAAUCCCGUGGUACUCUCGUGGAUGUGUGGGUUGGCAGCUGCCAGCCCCUGUCGUUCCGGGGCUUAGAGAAGGGAAAUAACAAGGAACAUCUUCUUGGGUCUCCAAGCUCACUCUGCAGGUAUUUGCUGAGCAUGCCUCUGGCAUCCGAGUUUAAUAAUGAUUAGAAUCUAGCAUAGCAAAAGAAAGCCAGGCUGUGUUCUUCCCAGUACAAGGAAACACACCACCAACAAAAACUUGAGUAAUGGUGAUUUCACAUGCACAGAGGAGAAGGAGGUAGGAAGGGAGGAAGGGAAGAAGGAAGGGAGGAAGGAAGGAAGGAAGGAAGGAAGGAAGGAAGGAAGGAAGGAAGGAAAAAAGGAAGGUAUUGGUGAAGUUGGAAAACAACUGAGAACCCUUCCUGAUCUACUGAGGUAAAAUGUCAGGAAAUUCCUCAGAAAGCUAUAGAGUCACCAUAUAGCAAUCCCACCCAUAAAUGAAUGCCUACGAGAACCAGAGCAUGACUAUUAUCUAGUAACUAGUGCAUGGCUAUUCAAAGAAAUGUUUCUCAGCCCCAACGUUGAAGUAACCCCAAAGUACUACCUACCAACUGAUAAAGAAAAAUGUGCUUCUUAUGUAUGGUGGCAUGGGUUAACCCAAGAACAUGCCUAGUGAAAAAGUCGCAGUGCGCUGGCUAUUCCUGGUUGACACCUUGACUACAUCUGGAGUGAACUACAAUCCAGAAAUGGAGGGCACACCUAUGAACCAGACCUUGAGGCUGGAAGACACAAGUUUCUGACCUGGAUCUUGGCAUGGAGAUCUUGAGGCACUGUGACCAUGAAAAGUUUAGACCCAGACAAGGUAGUGCAUGCCUUUAAUCCCAGGAGACUAAGGCAAGGAGAUCUCAGAGUUCAAGGUCAGCCUGGGACAAAGCAAGUCCCAGAUCCAGGCGUGGUGGUACACACCUUACUCUGUGCCACACCUUCUGCCGGUGGCCUACAUAAGGACUCUGGAAGAAGCAAUGUUCACUCUUCUUCGACUGCUUGCGCUUACAUGCCAGCACAUCUGUUGGAACCUACUUCUACAGAAGACCAGCUGAAACAACUAGCCUCAUGGGACUGAGCCACUACUGGAUUCUUGGACUUCCCAUUCACAGCUGCCCAUUGUUGCGUUAGUUGGACUGCAGACUGUAAGUCAUUACAAUAAAUUCCCUUAAUAGAGAGAGGCAUUCC